rnacentral:rRNA from 1 species
UACAGAGGGUGCAAGCGUUAAUCGGAAUUACUGGGCGUAAAGGGCGCGUAGGUGGUUGAAUAAGUCAGAUGUGAAAUCCCUGGGCUUAACCUAGGAAUUGCAUGUGAUACUGGUCGGCUAGAGUACAGAAGAGGGAAGUGGAAUUUCCGGUGUAGCGGUGAAAUGCGUAGAUAUCGGAAGGAACAUCAGUGGCGAAGGCGACUUCCUGGUCUGUUACUGACACUGAGGCGCGAAAGCGUGGGGAGCAAACAGG